GAAAAAAAGAAGGAGAUUGGCAGCAGAUGUUAGCUCAGGUGCCAAUCUUUAAAAGAAAGAAAAAACUGUUCAUAUUUUUUGGAAUCAAGAUUUUCAGUGUGAAAGUAAGAGUUCAGUUAAAGAAUCAAAGACAUUAAGAAGGAACACUGUUAUGUAGUGAUUUUUAAACAUACGUUUAUCUUUUCUAAUUCUAUUUCUACCAAAACUGCUUAGGAACAAAUGCCACCCCAACAGCAUGAAUGAAUCCAUGAAAAGUCUUCAUGAAGUAUAUAUCACAUAAAGUAUACAAGAUCACAUACAACUAUCUUUUUGCUAAAAAUAUUUAAAUUUAAUUUAAUUAAACCUUUGAAUUUAACUUCUAAUUUAAGGGAACCACGGGAACUGGAGGGAAAAAAUAGUGACUAUUGCAAGGAUGAUCAGCCAAAUGUGGACGGUAGAGGUGGAACCUUCUCCAGGACAAGUGACAGUCUUCACAGCUCAUGAGAGUUUCCUCACAAAGAGGUGCUGUUGAAGAAGAGAAAACUAAAGGGACAUAGAUGUGAUGUGUGGAUCUUAGUUAUGACAGAUAAGCAGCAAAGGAUAUGUUAAGGCAAUUAGGGAAAUGUGAAUAUGGAUGGAGUAUUAGUUAACAUUAAGAAAUUGUAAUCCAUUUUAUUAGAUGUUAUCCUGUUGUUUUGGCUAUGAAAGUAAGUAUUCUUGUAUUUGGAGAAGCACUCUGAAAUAUUUAGAAGUUUGUUUAGAAACGUUACUCGGUCUGUAAUUGAUAUUAAAAUAUAGCACAGACAGUGAAAUACAAAUGUGUGUACAUGUUAGUUUUAAUCGACCCCUUAAGAGUGAUCAGUUUGCCCUAACAAGGAAUGCAGAUUCCAAGAAUAGUUAGCUGGAUUUUUAUUCCAAAGGCCAAACUCCAAGUUGGCUGAUGAUAGCAUUCCAACUAUCUUUAUCUUUAAUUAACACCAGAAGUUUUGUUAAUUAGCAUAAUUGCAUACUAAAUUAAAUUUUUACAGGUAAAAUUAUUAGCUGGUUAGUGAACAUAAUGGAUAUUAGAGAUGAGUUUUCGUUAGUGAAUUAGUAGUUUUCAAGAUGUGUGGAUUUGAGUAGAAGUACUUUAGAGACAUUCUUGCCCUUGAAUAAACAGGUCAUAAAAAUCAAGCAAGCAGAGCAAUCUGUGUCCUUAGAAAUGCUACUCUCAGCUUCAUUCCUAAAUGGUCUUAAUGUCCGUCUACUCACUCCAGAGGAUUUUUGCUUACCUGACUCCCAUAAGUAUGGUGAGCUGAAUCUUGCCGCCAGAUUAUUGUCACAUUUGAAGCACCAGAAAUAAAGCUGGGGCUUUAAUGAGGCCACUGCACAGUUUGUCUGAGGACUUUGAGCCUCCUUGUAUUUGUGUCAGGAUUAUGUUCUAGACUUGUUUUCACUGACACCUGGUAUGAAGUUGUGGCGAGGGACCCACAACCUUCACUUGCCUCUAACUGCCAUUUGCCGAAAGGAAUCUAGUAGUCGUGAAUGACAAAAUUGGCUUUGAUCACUUUGCAACACCAUUCUUCUUGUCACAGAGAUUGAUUAAAGAAUGUAAAUGUAACCUAAAUAAGUACAGUAAGAUGGAAACGUGGGAGUUUUGAAGGAAUUAAUUAGAAAGUGCUGUUUUUCAAAGACACUGGAAUUGCCAAGCUGUUUGAGUAGAAUUCCAAAGCGGCUUAGGGCCAUAUUUGCAAUUGCAUGGGAAGGGUCUGUGUGAAAACGAAUCCAAAACCUAGGAAAACAAGAUUUAGAGGCAGACAGAUUCUUGAUCUUUGAGCAUCUGGAUCCAGAAAUGCUGGAAAUUAGUUCUUGCCGUGGACUUUUCGAUUAUAAGAAAGUCAAAAUUAUCCUCAACAAUUUGGGUUACAUUUCUGUCUUUGUAACUAGGACAGAUCUUUAUAAAAUAUAAAAUUACAUAUUUUCUGAGAGUAGUAGAGGAGUAAAAAGGAUAUCUAGCUUUGUUUUGUUUUUUUCCCACACUCAUCUUUGCUGUUUUCUUUUCUCAGUUAUCUCUUGGUUGGGUGAAGCUCAAGAGAUACAUAGUUCUAGUCAGAGUUUAUGUCAUGUGUGGGAUCCUCCUAGCACAUCUUUAGCAACGCUAAUCCAGGCUUACUGAUGGAUGAAAGUGCUAGAGAAUAGAUGCAUAACAAGAGCUUUGUGUAUUCAUAGAACCUAUUUGAAAUAACUUGAUCAAUAAAUGUUCCUGAUUUUACUCGUUUGAUAUCUAGACUAUCUUUCUUGACUCAGUGAUUUGUUUCAACUCAAAUUGUCCACAUACUAGUAGGAGAGUGAAGCAAGAUAGUUGAGGAUAAUAGCAGAAGGGUGUUUAAGUGUUAGGACAUUAUAUGUAAACUGAGAUGUGGAGAACGUUAAUACAGAGAUCACUGAUGGAGUGAGGAUAGACACAGGAGCUAAUGGACUGGUUUUGUAAGGACAAAGAACUAAAUUGCUGAUUGAGAGGGUAGGAAGGACAGGAGUCUAACAGAGUAAAUUCAGGACAACUUUCAUGAGUAGCCUCUGUCAUCACUCUGAAGCCUGACUGACUGGCAAUACGUUCAUGACUCCUUUCUAUAAUUACAAUAGAAAAUAAUUCACUCAUUCAGAUUUCUUAGACUUCCAACAAGGUUUGUGUUAUUAUAUGUUAUAAUCCUAAUAUGUAUAAUCAUACUGAUAAAUUGGGAUUAAUCUAGCCACACUGACAUUUCACAUAUACUUUAUUCUCUUCUAAGACUUUUGUUUGUUACAGAAAAGAAAAAAAACCUAUAAGAACAAGCAAUCAUGAAGAAAUUUGCAAAUCAUAAUCGGAAAGAUUGUUUAAUUUUCCAAUAUCCAACUAACUCUAAAAAUAUCCAGAAGCAUAUGAUAUAUAUCUCUUCUUAGUUGUGCAUCUACCGUAAAAAAAAAAACUAUGGAAAACCUUGAGGGCAAGGGCCUGAAUCAAGUGUUUCAUUCAAACACCAUUCAUUGUGGACCCAUUUUGUAAAAAUGCCACGAUCCAUUAACAAUGAGAAAAUUAGUAGGUUGUACCUGAAUUCUUACUUUGCAUAGAAAAAGUAUAUAAUUUAGCUGAUGAUUCUUGUCUUGGUAGCUAAUAAAGGUGCGCUUUUCUCACCUUUUCCUCCCCAAGAGCUAAUCAUCAGGUCAUUUAUUUCUCAAUUCCAUAAAAAUCCUUCAGAAGUAAGUAAAUAAAACGUUGGGGUGUGAAUGAACUUACCAACUCAAAUAAAAAUCUAUUUACUUGGCUAGAAAAACCAGAUUUGUUACCAAUAGCUAUCAAGAGUACAGCUAUUUAUGAAGUAUUUUUUAAUAACCACAUUUGGUUCAGUUUAUUUGCUUUUAACUUUUUUGUCACAAUUACUUCUCAUUCGCAUUAGUUUGUUUUCUUCCUAUCUGUUCAGAAGCCACUUGAUAUCUCCUUUUUGGUUGGAAAGGAGAUAUUUAAUUAAAAAAUUGAUCAAGCAAUCAAUUAUAAAAGUGUUGAUAUGAAUAUGGUUAUGUGAUAUACUUCAUAUACCUGUAUACACUUAUAUAUGACUCCCUUCAUUUCUCAUUUUUUCUAUCAAUAUUCCAUAUUCUUUGAUCAAACUUACGUCAGAUUAGCUAGUUAGUCCAUGUAGCUUACACAAAUUUGUUUACAUUGUCCAAUUGUUGUCAUUUGUAAGAAACACUUAAUUUCCCUUUAGCAGCAACUGUUUCAUUUCUGUAGUAGUCAUCUCUGUUCAAGAAAAUGAGCGGUGAUGCGGGCUUUAUUAAUUAGCAAGCCCUGAGGAAUACCAGCUUAAUUAAAUCCAUUUUAAAAUACACAAUAUAAGCUAUAGCUGUCUGUUAAUGAUUAACACAUCUUGUUUAUUUAGUCCUAUUUUUUCUCCUAAAUCUUUUCUUUUCAACCUACGAGCUUCCAGCUGUUUCCUCAAAGCAACGUGAAACAGCUGCUGAGAGAUACGAACUCAAACAUCCAAAAGGCAUUCAGUAUCUUCAGAUUUCCUGUUCUCUAUACUGCUGAUAUGACAUUUGCUUUAGAAGACACAUACCUCUAGCUACCCUGUGGCUGAAUGACCGGAAUAAGACAAGAACAGAGGCAGGAGACUAAUUAGAUGGCUAUUACAGUGGUCCAAGCAAGAUACGAGGGUGCAGCAAACUGUCAGAUUACAGGAUGGACCAGUCAAGCAAAUGCCUGAGCAUGUUUCUGGGAUCAGCACAAAUCUGCACGCCACUCUGAGUGGAGCCCUGCACUGGAAGAUUUAUUGAAGAAAGAAGAAAAGGAAACCAUAGGUCCAGGAAGGUGACAGGAGACAUGAAAGGAUAAGAGUACUUCGGCCUGGACUUGGGGAAGUAUUUUGGGUGAGGAAGGAAAAAUCGGGCUUGAAGAGAAAUUUUGUGGGCAUCCCCUAUGGAAAACAAUUUUAAGGAUGAUUACUUUCGUUACAUUUGGAGUUGACAUUCUUUGAGAAAGACUGAGUAAAGAAUGGAUU